rnacentral:rRNA from 1 species
CCUACGGGGGGCAGCAGUGAGGAAUAUUGGUCAAUGGGCGAGAGCCUGAACCAGCCAAGUCGCGUGAAGGAUGACGGCCCUACGGGUUGUAAACUUCUUUUGUCAGGGAGCAAUUGGUUCCACGCGUGGGCUUAGCGAGAGUACCUGCAGACAAAGCAUCGGCUAACUCCGUGCCAGCAGCCGCGGUCAUACGGAGGAUGCGAGCGUUAUCCGGAUUUAUUGGGUUAAAAGGGUGCGUAGGCGGAAUAUCAAGUCAGCGGUAAAAAUUCGGGGCUCAACCCCGUCGUGCCGUUGAAACUGAUGGGCUUGAGUGGGCGAGAAGUAUGCAGAAUGCGUGGUGUAGCGGUGAAAUGCAUAGAGAUCACGCAGAAUACCGAUUGCGAAGGCAGCAUACCGGAGCACAACUGACGCUGAAGUACGAAAGCGUGGGUAUCGAACAGGAUUAGAUACCCCAGUAGUC